UCGAAUGCUGGACAUGGAUGAAAAUGUUCAGAAACGGAAUAUGACUGCUUUAAAAUCGCCACGAUACUGAUAGAGUAUGGAAGUGUAUAUAUACAAACACAAACAACACCUCUUUUGUGGACUUCCGUAAAUACGGUCUUGUUGCUAUGGUAACAGCUCCUCCACAGGGACGUGCACUGCUGCAGCUCCAUAUAAUCCGGACUGAAGCGCGUCAUCGCCUCGAGGUUUUCAACUGAAAACCACACAAACAUCUUUAUCAGACUGAAGCUCUUGCUCCAUCAUGCUGCUCGAAAGCGACAGGUUUACAAGGUUCUUUCUGAUCUCGGUGCUGAUCGGAGGAGCUUUGACUCUGCCCAUUGUAGAAAGAGAGAGGUUUCAGGAAGACACACCUCUAGACCUGCUGUUUGACCCAAAACCUGUUCAGGAUCAUUUCACUCCGGUGGAUGAUUACGGAGUGAAACCAGUUCCACCUCAUGUGCCGUCGUAUCUCCUCAGGGCAUGAGCUCUGACUAAUACAGGCUAAUGGAAGAUUUAUUCUAGUAACUCCAAACUCCACCAGUUUCUCAAAGAUGAGCCCUGAUCACAGUGCCACUGAGUUAAAGAU